rnacentral:rRNA from 1 species
GAUGAACGCUAGCUACAGGCUUAACACAUGCAAGUCGAGGGGAAACGACAUCGCAAGCUUGCUUUUGAUGGGCGUCGACCGGCGCACGGGUGAGUAAAGCGUAUCCAACCUCCCCAUCACUUGGGAAUAACCUUGCGAAAGUAAGACUAAUACCCAAUGAUAUCCCACGAAGGCAUCGGAAUGGGAUUAAAAAUUUAUCGGUGAUGGAUGGGGAUGCGUCUGAUUAGCUUGUUGGCGGGGUACCGGCUCACCAAGGCAAAGAGCAGUACGGGUUCGGAGAGGGAGCACACUGAGAUUGGAACUGAGACACGGUCCAAACUCGUACGGGAGGCAGGGGUGAGGAAUAUUGGUCAAAGAGCGAGAGCGUGAAACAGCCAAGUAGCGUGGAAGAAGACGGCCCUAUGGGUUGUAAACUGCUUUUAAAAGGGAAUAAAGUGGGUCACGUGUGACUUUUUGCCUGUACCUUAUGAAUAAGGAACGGCUAAUUCCGUG